rnacentral:tRNA from 1 species
GAGGGGAUAGCUCAGUGGUAGAGUAUGUGCUUAGCAUGCACAAGGUCCUGGGUUUAAUUCCUGGUACCUCCU